CUCUUACUGUCACCCCUCAGCGCGGACGCAGUCACCCUCUUACUGUCACCCCCCAGCGCGGACGCAGUCACCCUCUUACUGUCACCCCCCAGCGCGGACGCAGUCACCCUCUUACUGUCACCCCUCAGCGCGGACGCAGUCUCCCUCUUACUGUCACCCCUCAGCGCGGACGCAGUCUCCCUCUUACUGUCACCCCUCAGCGCGGACGCAGUCUCCCUCUUACUGUCACCCCUCAGCGUGGACGCAGUCACCCUCUUACUGUCACCCC